rfam:Solanum tuberosum cultivar DM 1-3 516 R44 scf00441_12, whole genome shotgun sequence.
AAAAAAGCAGGGAUGGAUUGCCUUUAGUGAAUUGAUCUCUCGUAAACUUCAGGGACAUCAAAAAUUGCAUUGUUAUUGGGUGAACCACUUGAUUUGUUUGUGAUGGCUUGGUUCAGUAAACGAUGAUACAUCC